GAUUGGGAGUCCCAUAGGGUGGCGCACAAUUGGGCCAGCGUCGUCCGGUUUUGGCCGUGGUAGGCCGUCAUUGGAAAUAAACAUUUGUUCAUAACUGACGUGCCUAGUUAAAUAAAGGUAACAUUUUUCAAAUUAAAGUGACCCCUACAUUUAACUUGCUAGUUAAUCUAAGUAAAUUGCUGAAUUAAUCAAGUGGAGGCAUCAUAUCGUGUUAGCUUUCUGCCUUGUUCUCCCAUCUUCUCAGAGCAAGCAAGCCAGUUGCCCUAGCGACUCCAGACUCCACACAGGCACAAUGUGUAGUCUACACAUGCUGCUUCAGAGCCAGUACUGUUCUUCCUUCAGACAAGCAUGCAUCAGAACUUUGCACAGUGUCUCACGUUCACAUUCACUUGUAAAAUGUUCAAACUCACCAAAAAUAACAUUUUGUAGCUCCUAACUAUAUAUGUAUAACUUUAUGAGCUGGAUUGCCUGUUUUUGCAAUUCCUUUUAUUUUCGUUGGCGCUCGUUAGCAUAUUUAGUCAGCCCCCAUUGAAAUUCGCUAUUACCUGUGCUAAUUUUGUUCAUAUUCUGUUAGACGCCCAAUGUUUGUUUGUUUUUGCGCCACCUUGUGUACGAAGCCUGUAAUACCGUAAUAUCAGGGUAUGAGAAAAUCUGGAUACUGCCCAACCCUACUGCAUGUUUGUGUUUGACAGAUUAUGGUAAGAGAUAGGAUUAAAGCUUGAUUACUCUUGUGUACUAAAUUGCUGCUCAAAGAUCAUGUGACAUUUUAAGUUUUGUCAAAAGUCCUGAAUGUUGUUGUUGGCAUGAUGUUUUUCCACCAAUCUGUUCUUUGGUUUUUACCUCACUAUUACUUAAUAGAUUUUUCCAUCCAAUGACCACCCUUCAUAACCCAUAUACCUGAAUAAAGUGGAAGUCCAUUGUCUAUGCAAUCAUUUCCUCAAAUUAGAUAAUUAAACACUGCGUACCAACUGGGAUUUGGUUAUGGGUUGCAUAAUAGUCUCUUGAAAGAGGGAGCUGUUGGAAAUGUAUUGGUCAUUGGCAAUGACACUAAUAAUCAGAGGGAGGGCUUUGGAAGAUUGGGGCUAAAUCCUAAUUUGAGAUGUGUGUUUUAGGGCUGACCCCAUUUAGUCAACUGGUCGAUAGGCUGUUGGUCGAGCAGUCGCAAAAAUACAUUUCUUUAUGGCACACGAGAAACCCGUCAGAUUCAUGCUGGCCUUGGUGGACUAAUCCAUUGCGAAGGCCACGGGGUUGGCUCACCAGAAGUACAUUUACCGUUCUAAUCUACAAUAUUUGUUUGAGUGAAGAAAAGACGGCGGUGGCUGGGACGUGUUGUAGACUGCCACCAGAACACGCACCCUGCGAUUGCACUACGCUGAAGAGAAAGACAGGACGCCCAAAAGAGACAUGGAGGAGAACAAUAGAAAAUAAGAUGGAGUGGCUUGACCUGGGGAGCCCUCACCAAGAAGGCUGCAGACUGGAAGCAGUGCACUCUCCUGUGGAUGCCUUUAUGUGCCUCAAAAUGUUGUCCCGACUUACGUGUGCAGAUGUGGGAGGAGCCAAGGGGCAUGGCUGGGUGGCGGUGGUAACCGUGGCGACAGCGCUGGCACCUGCGCCCUGCUGUGUUGUGUCGGCAUUCGUCACAGACACCCCCACUGGUGGCCCCUGAGGACAGCCACGCCCUCUGGGAGAAGUGACAGCUUGUCGCGUGGCCGUAACACUCACACUCUGGAGCACAGGGAGACAACGAUGGGACGGGAGAGAGGACGGAGGGAUUAGUCAACUGGAAGGAUAGAUUAUGAGAUGACACCCAACGGUAGGUUUGCCAACACUCCCGGUUUGGCUUGGAGUCUUGACCUCCCUGCAAGCAAAACUUUUACAGGAGAUUUUAUUCAUGUUUGAAUGAAAAGUAAUAACUGAUAUAU